AGCAAGUAACUUGCUGAUGAUGUAUUCACCUAACAUAAACCUGGUAAGUAGGUAAGGAAACUUGCUGUGUGAGUUUACUAGCUAUAUAGCCCUGGCUGCUCUUACAGAGGACACAGGUUUGAAUCCCAGCACCCACAUGGUGGCUAACAACUGUAACACCCCUAGCUGGUGAUGGGAGAGCCACACUACCUUCCGGUUCUCUGUAACAGGAUGGCAAGCAGUCAGCUCAUCCCACCUCCUGCCUUGGAAUUGCUAGGUGGUUUAGGAGACAGCCAGCCAUUGGCCUGCACGGAGCCCCUGCAGCUUAAGCAGAACUCAAGGCCAGAAUUGAGAGGAGGCAUGAGGAACAGCCAAGGGCAACUGCAACACCAUGCUCCCCAUUCCAGGUGAGCUGUAUGAAUUCCCACUGUCCACAGGCUACAGGGUGAGGGGUGCAUGUACCACACUAUGAACAGACGGUCACUGGAGACUGCCUUGCAAAGACAGUGAAUGUGACCUGGCCACCUAGUGAUCUAGGGAUGGGGAAGGAAAAGAGAAUGGAGCCCUUUGGGGUGGAGGGUGGAGAAUCUCAGACUGAUUCAGGGAAACUGGAUCAUAGUGCAAGCUAAGCUGUUUAGAGACACAGGGAGGGAUGAUGGGAGGAGUCUAGAAGCUGCAGAGCAGGGGACCGAGUAGAACCAAGUGCUAGGGGGAUACUAGCUUGCUGAGGGUAGUGGCUCUGGAUUCAGGGGAGGGUAGCUUGGGAGAGGGAGACUUCAGAAGCUGGCUAAGCAAGAUGCAGACACAGAGCAACAAACAGCCUGUUAUGGCUGAACUGAACCAACACUGACCCAGGCAGGCAACACUGAACCAACCCAGGGAAGGUACAGGGUCUGGGUUGAUACCUCCCCUUCCUGGCCCUAGGGGCUUUCUGGGUCCUUCUUUAGGCGACUUAAGUGGUUAUAAAUGAGGCAAUGCUCCAGAGAAAAUAAACCUUGAAAUCACUCUGCCCCUGUGGCUGGGUGUCAGGGUGGAAGGCAGACUCUUAAGCAGAGAGGUGGGAAAGGGAUAGAAGGUGGGAAAGGGUGAAGAGGGACAAAGGUGAUGGAUGAUUGAGGAGGAAGAUACCAGCUGGUGGGGCUGUGGGGUCCUGCCCCACAGGACACAAGUGUUAGGAACUCAGAAGGGAUCAGGACUUUGGGGGUAAUCAGAGUGGAGAAAGUACAACCCUUUCUUUGCCUGGUCAGAGUUUUCCCUGGAGAGCUCAAGGUCAGACAAGACAGGGAAAGGAGGUAAGGAGCCUAGGACUUCAAAUCUGUGACUCAGCAGCCAUCCCUCAGCCUGGACAGAGGUGGCCACAGGUGGAGGAGGGGGCAGGCAGAGAGAGAGAGCCAGUACUUAAUAAUUCAUGGCUUUUUCUAUUUUUACAGUUGCUCAAGGCAGCAGAUAGAGUAAACAUACCAAAUCCAAGACUUUACCUGUCCCAGCUACCUCCUUCCUCUGGGACACAGCCACACCAAAGUCAAACAGGAUCUCUGUCUAUAGACAAGGCUUUGAAAAGUGAAGUUGGAGCUUAGCCCAGGGCGGGAGAAAACAGAACACCCAUGUCUAGGUGAGAAAACCACUUCCUGAGUCCCCCCAGGGGCAACAGAGGAGGAGCUGGGUAGAAGGGAAUCUGGGGAUCUGGUGCAAGGACCCCUGAUGUGACUAAAUGCCACUUGGCAGAUGUUCCACCCCAUCAGCUCUCCUGGCCUGGCAUUCAGAGCUGAGCGGGGCUGGGAGGUUCUUCACACCCUACUUCCCAGUCUUUCGUUUGGCUCCAUGCCUUGGUACAAGCAUCCCUUUCCCCCAGAGUGUCCUCCCUGUCCUUCCUCCACCCUGCAGCUCAAAGCUUCAGAUGUCUCUUUCUUUGGGCUGAAGGGGGCCAUAUCACAGUUGUUACUUUGAUCCCACUUCCCAGGGCAGAAAUUACCUCCCUAGGCUCAGCCCAGUUCCUGGCCCUGGACAAACAGACAUCAGGAAGCUGCAGUUUCUUCCCAGACUCUCAUUGCUGGGUCCCCUCCCCCUUAGUUCCUGGGCUCUGGUUACUACUAGAGCGGUAAGCUAGAUCAAUCAGCAGGGCCCAAGAAGUGGUGGUGUACAGAGCCAGUUCCUCCCACCUGGAUGGGAUCAUAGCAGUUCAGUUCCGAUGGAACGGUGAUUCCUCUCCUUCCCAGAAGCUAUGCAUUGUCCACCCUACUCUCUGGCUCCUUCCUCCCACGUCUGGGCCGGGCAUGGUGCCAAGUCUUCAUUAGGGGUGUGGGAACUAAAUGAGACUGCAACAGUAUUAGCAUCUGCCUUCCCUAGAGGCUAUCUUCCCUAGAACUCAGCUUUCCAUCUUUCCUUCUAAGCUAGCCUCUUCCAUGAAGCCACCCAUAACCACCUACCCCUAGCACAUAUAAGUGGGCCUCAGUCACUGGCUCACACACACCCAAAGGGUCAGGGUGCUGACUGUUCUCACUUUCCAAGAUGGUGAAUGGCACUCAAAUGGGGCCCAUAGACAUUUAUGGAAUGGAAAAGUUUGGGGGGUAGUGCGGAGGAUAGGGGGGAGUUGCCACAGCCAGCAUGGGGGCAGCUCACUGUACAGUUGCUCAGGCUAGCGUCUGCAGCAGAGAACGCGGCAGGUCUAGCCCAUCACCCUGCAUCCUACACAGGUUCCCCAAGGUUCUGAUUAAUCUGCAGUCCAGAGUACAGGGACAGCUCAUCUGCAAAUGAAUCUUAGCUGUGUGGAGAAAUGGGUCAGGAAACAAAGGCUCCUGAAUCCAAGUGGAUGCUUCCCAUUGGGGCAAAAACCAAAGCUCCGGAGCCCUGAGGAUGGAGGCCAGGCCUCAAUGGCACUGGCUUGUGACUGACUGCAUCUUCAGGGCUUGCAGGUGACUGUGGGAAGGUCAUUUUCCCUUGGACAUGUUCCUCACACCCUCCAACUCUCGGCAAGGAUGAGGCACCUUGGUGGAGUAGAGGAUGGAUCUGACUCCACUUCAGCAGGCCUUGGCUUUGACCCUUCUCAAGGCCUCCUCCUUCCUGACUCAACAGCCCCUCCUUGACUCCCAGUGAUGUCACUUUGGCCACCUCAUCACCAGCUUCUAAGAACCCCCUUCCAGUUACCCUCUGGGCCUCAGAUGAGAGGCCUGAGGUGGCUCCCUCUUCUUCCAGGCUCUUAUUUGGCAUGCAGUCUGACAUUACCAGACCGGAGCCCUCGACAUCCUGAACCAUUUCCAGGGCAGAAAAAGACUCGGUGACUCCUCCCUUGGGAAGUCGGACUAGAGACUCCACUUUCAGCUCCUUCACUGGCAUGGUCCCCAGCACCACCCCCUCCAAGGGCAGAAAGAAGAUAGUUGGGGAAACUUUCUGGGAGUCAUAGCGCUCCGAAAUUCUGGCUGGGACAGAUGCCGCUGAUUUGGGGCGAUGACCUCCCUCUGCACACAGCAAAAACGUGCCGGCCAAGACUUCCAUUCUACUUAAUACCCGGGCCCCCUAAUACCAGGAGCACUGGGCAGUUGCUGCUUCUAAGGACUCAGGAUGAAACCCAGGACCUCAUGCAUGCUAAGCAAGGAGUCUACCAAUGGAGCUACAUACCUAACCCAUUUUCCUUCUUUUUUAAAGUCAAGUUUAUUGAGGGCUCCUGCUUGAACUAAACAUCACCUCAUUUGGAAGCAUCCUGGAAGCCUCCAGGCAUAGGAAGCAAGAUGAUGCUGUGCAAAAAGUGUUGCCUAUUGUGGGACCUGGACUUAGUCUGCUGCUGCUUCUUUGUUCCAGGUUGGCCUCAAAUACAUCAAGUAUCCAAGGAUGACGAGGAACUUCUCAUCUUCCUGCCUCCACCUCCCAAGUACAGGUGUAUGCCACUAUAACCAUUUAUUAUAACCAGUUUAACAAUUAAGAGUUCUUGCCUGGCCUGCACAAAACUGAGUUCAAUCCCCAGCACUUCAUAAAACCAAGCAUGGUGGUGGUGGUGCACACCUCUAAU